AUGAUUAGUAAAGUGCUACAGACUGGAAGGAGGGAAUGAGAAAUAGACAUGAUCAGAAAGAAGCAGUCGCAAGUCUUGGACUAAGACACUAAAGAGUUAAAAAGUUUACCUGAAAUUCAGAGCCCUGCAACUGAUGAGUGGCUUACAGUAGAACAGUUGCUGGAAACGGCGUCCAGGAGAAGUGGUAACCAAGAGGUUUCCAUCCAUUUUUCAGUAGGAAUUAAAAGAACAGGCUACCACAAUGUUUAUAAAACAUGUUGGAAAAAAGUGUUACAUGUGUAUUGUGGAAUUUAA
rnacentral:lncRNA from 1 species